rnacentral:rRNA from 1 species
CCUACGGGACCAGCAGUGGGGAAUCUUCCGCAAUGGACGAAAGUCUGACGGAGCAACGCCGCGUGAGUGAAGACGGCCUUCGGGUUGUAAAGCUCUGUUAUACGGGACGAACGAGAGUAUAGUUAAUACCUAUAUUCUGUGACGGUACCGUAAGAGAAAGCCACGGCUAACUACGUGCCAGCAGCCGCGGUAAUACGUAGGUGGCAAGCGUUGUCCGGAAUUAUUGGGCGUAAAGGGCGCGCAGGCGGUUUUACAAGUCGGUCUUAAAAGUGCGGGGCUCGACCCCGUGAGGGGACGGAAACUGG